rnacentral:rRNA from 1 species
GAUGGGAGCCAUUGGUCUUUUCGCAAGAAAUGUACUUGUGCGUUCCCAUCCAAUUUCUGCAAUCGGGGCAUGCUCUUAAGUGGGUGUGUUACGAGUGCAGAGCAUUUACUUUGAAAAAAUUAGAGUGUUCAAAGCAAACUUUUGUUUGAAUAUGUUAGCAUGGAAUAAUGACAUAGGACAUCAGUUCUAUUUUGUUGGUUUAUAGGACUGGGGUAAUGAUUAAUAGGGAUAGUUGGG